rnacentral:rRNA from 1 species
AUGGUGUCCAAGAUCAAGCGGCUCCCGACCCUGGCCAAGGUGGCCCUGCUGCUCCUCGUCCUGCUCCUCCUCCUCGCCGCCAUCCUGCUGCUCAUCUUCCUGGUCCCGCGCCGCCGCACAUCGCCGCUGCCGCCCGCCGCGCCCCCGGGGCCGGCGGACAACUGCUCCGACCGCGCCGUGGCGUUCGACUUCUCCCCGUUCCUCGUCCAGUACAGGGGCGGCUGCGUCCACCGGAUGGACGGCACCGCGCGGGUCCCCGCCGGCGUCGACGCGGCCACCGGGGUGGUCUCCAAGGACGUCGUCAUCGACCACGGGACCGGCCUCGGGGCCAGGAUGUACCUGCCACCGAAGCUGGCGGCCGGCGGGGGCAAGAAGGAGAAGGACCUGCCGGUCGUGGUGUUCUUCCACGGCGGCGCGUUCGUCAUCAUGACGCCGUUCGAGCCCAAGUACCACGACUACCUGAACGCGCUGGUGGCCAAGGCGCGCGUGGUGGCGGUGUCCGUGGACUACCGCCUGGCGCCGGAGCACCCGCUGCCGGCCGCCUACGACGACUCGUGGGCGGCGCUCAACUGGGCCGCCAGGAACGCGGACGCCGGGCCCGAGCCGUGGCUGCGUGACCGGGGGAACCUCUCCCGCCUGUUCCUCGCCGGCGACAGCGCCGGCGCUAACAUCGCGCACAACAUGUUGAUGCGCGCCGGGAGCGGGAGCGGGCUGGAGGGCGGCGCGGCCAUCCUGGGCGUGCUGCUCCUGGACCCCUACUUCUGGGGAAAGCGGCCCGUGGGCGCGGAGACGACGGACACGGCGACGCGGCGGCGGUACGAGGAGACGUGGUCGUUCGUGUGCGGCGGGCGGUACGGCAUCGACGACCCGCUGAUCAACCCGCUGGCGGCGCCGGCGUCGGCGAUGCAGAGGCUGGCGUGCGCCCGCGUGGCGGUGACCACGUCGGGGCUGGACAACUUCGAGGCCCGCGGGGAGGCGUACGCCGCGGCGCUCAACGGCAGCGGGUGGCGCGGCGAGGUGGUGCGGUACGAGACGGCCGGCGAGCGGCACGUCUACUUCCUGGACCAGCCCGCCAGCCCCAAGUCUGCCAAGGAGCUGGCGUUCGCGGCCGCGUAUCUGAGCCGGGAGUAG